UACAGAGGGUGCGAGCGUUGUCCGGAAUCACUGGGCGUAAAGGGCGCGUAGGCGGCUUGGUAAGGUUGCGGUGAAAGCCCGGGGCUCAACCCCGGGUCGGCCGUGGCAACUGCUGAGCUGGAGCACUGUAGGGGCAGGUGGAAUUCCGGGUGUAGCGGUGGAAUGCGUAGAGAUCCGGAAGAACACCGGUGGCGAAGGCGGCCUGCUGGGCAGUGGCUGACGCUGAGGCGCGACAGCGUGGGGAGCAAACAGG
rnacentral:rRNA from 1 species